rnacentral:rRNA from 1 species
AUCCUGAGUACGGCGGAACACGAGAAAUUCCGUCGGAAUCCGGGAGGACCAUCUCCCAAGGCUAAAAACUCCCUAGUGACCGAUAGUGAACCAGUACCGUGAGGGAAAGGUGAAAAGCACCCCGGAAGCGGAGUGAAAUAGAACCUGAAACCGUGUGCCAACAACAAGUCAAAGCCCGUUAAUGGGAGCUGGCGUCCCUUAUGUAGAAUGAACCCGCGAGUAACGAUUG